GGGCCCGUAGCUCAGCUGGUAGAGCACUUGACUUUUAAUCAAGUGGUCGGGCGUUCGAACCGCCCCGGGCUCA
rnacentral:tRNA from 1 species